UGGGGAAUAUUGCACAAUGGUGGGAACUCUGAUGCAGCGACGCUGCGUGAGUGAUGAAGGAAUUCGUUUCGUAAAACUCUGUUCUAUGGGAAGAAAAGGACUGUACCAUAGGAGAAAGCUCCGGCUAAAUACGUGCCAGCAGCCGCGGUAAUACGUAUGGAGCGAGCGUUGUCCGGAAUUAUUGGGCGUAAAGGGUGCGCAGGCGGCUUUACAAGUUGGAUGUGAAAUAUUGUGGCUCAACCACAAACGUGCAUCCAAAACUGCAAAGCUUGAGUUAAGGAGAGGUAAGUAGAAUUCCUGGUGUAGAGGUGGAAUGCGUAGAUAUCAGGAGGAAUACCGGUGGCGAAGGCGACUUACUGGACUUAAACUGACGCUCAGGCACGAAAGCGUGGGGAGCAAACAGG
rnacentral:rRNA from 1 species